rnacentral:lncRNA from 1 species
GUCACAGGCCUAUUCCAGGGCUAUAGAGAACCUAAACGGGGGAGGAAGGUGGGGUUUUCCCACGAAGGUGGGUGGGGGGCGUUUUGGGCAGAGGAGAUGGUAAGCGCCCCCUGCAGCUCCCAAACACAAGCCCUCCACUCCAGGUUGUGACAGCCUUGACCCAUGGAAUCAUGUGGCUUCCACUUGGUCCUCUCUGCACUACUCACCUUCCAACCUUCCAGAGACUCCCUCUGGGGACGCCACCACAUUGUGAGAAACUCAACCCACAGAGAGAGACCACACGUAGGUACUAUGGCCUGUCCUUCAGCCAUCCGGCUCGGGCACCAGAUGGGUGUGCAGAAACCAACUUGAAAGCCCCAGACAUCAUGAAGAAGUCAACAGCCACCCCCACAGUGCCUGAAUCCCUGACCCACAGAAUCGACAGAGAGAGAGAGCGCACAGGCAGACAGAGUGGAAGGCAGAGGCAGAAGGAGAAGCAGGCUCCCUGCGGAGCAAGGAGCCUGAUGUGGGACUCGAUCCCAGUAUGCUGGGAUCAUGACCUGAGCUGAAGGCAGCC